ACGGGAGGCAGCAGUGGGGGAUAUUGCACAAUGGAGGAAACUCUGAUGCAGCGACGCCGCGUGAGGGAAGACGGUCUUCGGAUUGUAAACCUCUGUCUUAGGGGAAGAAGAUGACGGUACCCUAAGAGGAAGCUCCGGCUAACUACGUGCCAGCAGCCGCGGUAAUACGUAGGGAGCGAGCGUUGUCCGGAAUUACUGGGUGUAAAGGGAGCGUAGGCGGGAUGGCAAGUAGAAUGUGAAAACAGCCGGCUCAACUGGUUGUUGCGUUCUAAACUGCCGUUCUUGAGUGAAGUAGAGGCAGGCGGAAUUCCUAGUGUAGCGGUGAAAUGCGUAGAUAUUAGGAGGAACACCAGUGGCGAAGGCGGCCUGCUGGGCUUUAACUGACGCUGAGGCUCGAAAGCGUGGGGAGCAAACAGGAUUAGAUACCCUGGUA
rnacentral:rRNA from 1 species